CACCUGAACAUCUUGUUAAAAUGCAGACUCUGGGUCAGCAGACCUGAGAUGCAGUCACUGCAUUUCUAAUCAGCUCCCACAUGAUG
rnacentral:pre_miRNA from 1 species